AACGAACGCUGGCGGCAUGCCUAACACAUGCAAGUCGAACGAGACCUUCGGGUCUAGUGGCGCACGGGUGCGUAACGCGUGGGAACCUGCCCUUAGGUUCGGAAUAACUCCCCGAAAGGGGUGCUAAUACCGGAUAAUGUCUUCGGACCAAAGAUUUAUCGACUUUGGAUGGGCCCGCGUUGGAUUCGCUAGUUGGUAGGGUAAAAGCCUCCCACGGCGACGAUCCAUAGCUGGGCUGAGAGAAUGAUCAGCCACACUGGGACUGAGACACGGCCCAGACUCCUACGGGAGGCAGCAGUGGGGAAUAUUGGACAACGGCCGAAAGCCUGAUCCAGCAAUGCCGCGUGAGUGAUGAAGGCCUUAGGGUUGUAAAGCGCUUUUACCCGGGAUGAUAAUGACAGUACCGGGAGAAUAAGCCCCGGCUAACUCCGUG
rnacentral:rRNA from 1 species